rnacentral:rRNA from 1 species
CCUACGGGCGGCAGCAGUCGAGAAUCAUUCACAAUGGGGGAAACCCUGAUGGUGCGACGCCGCGUGGGGGAAUGCAGGUCUUCGGAUUGUAAACCCCUGUCAUGUGGGAGCAAAUUAAAAAGAUAGUACCACAAGAGGAAGAGACGGCUAACUCUGUGCCAGCAGCCGCGGUAAUACAGAGGUCUCAAGCGUUGUUCGGAAUCACUGGGCGUAAAGCGUGCGUAGGCUGUUUCGUAAGUCGUGUGUGAAAGGCGCGGGCUCAACCCGCGGACGGCACAUGAUACUGCGAGACUAGAGUAAGGGAGGGGGAACCGGAAUUCUCGGUGUAGCAGUGAAAUGCGUAGAUAUCGAGAGGAACACUCGUGGCGAAGGCGGGUUCCUGGACAUUAACUGACGCUGAGGCACGAAGGCCAGGGGAGCGAAAGGGAUUAGAUACCCUGGUAGUC